UACGAAGGGGGCUAGCGUUGUUCGGAAUCACUGGGCGUAAAGAGCGCGCAGGCGGUCGAUCAAGUCGAGUGUGAAAGCCCCCGGCUCAACUGGGGAGGGUCAUUCGAUACUGAUGGACUCGAAGGCAGGAGAGGGUAGUGGAAUUCCCGGUGUAGUGGUGAAAUGCGUAGAUAUCGAGAGGAACACCUGCGGCGAAGGCGGGUUGCUGGGCUGAUACUGACGCUGAGGCGCGAAAGCCAGGGGAGCGAACGGG
rnacentral:rRNA from 1 species